rnacentral:lncRNA from 1 species
UUAUCUAUUAAUUCACUAAUCGCUUAUCAGUUUUCUAUCUAAGUUUGACAUUUCUACUAAUAGAAUAAGAGGAAGCUAACUCUUGGUUGUAAACAAACUUUGACGUGCCAUAUUUGUAGUUUACGAUAUGGGAGGGGCUUACAGAAGAGUUUCAUGGACGACACUAUUCGAAUAGAAGGAGAAUGUCAAUUUUUCAUAUCAACAAAUAUGAAGGAUCCAUGACACCUCAACCUUAUACAACAACUCUGUUACUAU